AAAAAGAACUUGGUCAGUGCACCGAGGAAAACUGAAGAGAGAUUCUCUACUGUGUUAAUUAGCAGGAAGCUACAAUAAGCUCAAAAAACAAAAAGUACAUAAACAAACAAACAAAAACUCCAACAACCAAAAAAAACAAGAACAAGCAGUCUUCACUUUGCACAAUGUGCAGGAAUGUAAGAAUGCCUGCGAAAGCUGAAAUUGUGCACAUCAAUCUUAACAACAAUGAGAAAAAUUACAAUUGUUCAUGAUCUUUAGAGAUGUCUGUCGAAACAUUUAAAACUCAGUUAUACAUAUAUAGUGAAAUGAAAAAGACAGUAAAACUAAUAUUCACAUUGUAAUUUAAAAUGCUAGAAACUCUGAGAAUUAAAAUGUUUUAUUUCUUUGUAAAAAAACAUAUCAAAAAGAGUUCAAACAGGGCUUGCCACCUUCUCAUUGUAUAGCUUAUGAUACAAAGGGAGUAUCUUUUCUAUUUCCUAGCAAACUGUCAUACUCUAAGCUUGAGGCAGCUUCUAGAAUUUUCUUUUGUGCUUUCAAUCUCAUGAAAUAUCUCCAAGAACUCCUUUACUGCGAAGUGUUGUUUUGCCAGUGUCACUCUCCCUGGGAUUUCUUUACCCUUUCGGUCACACAUUCCUCACUUGGGUCUGUAAGUUCACGUUCAUUAAGUUCCUCCAUACUUUCAUUACUUUGCUGAACUUUCAUCUUUGCCGGCCAAUUCGAUUACCCAUUCUUGUAACAUUUCAUGUGGAUUUACCACUGGGAGAAAAGGAGGCAAUGAACUAUACACACUUGGCCAUCUGUGUGGUGAAAUUAUGUAGUGGCCAAUCACUGACAGAUCUGAAGGAGUGAAGUAACUGAUCACUGAUCACGAUGCAAUCUGUUAUUUAUGUAGUGACUUGUGGACUAGAGCUAGUAACAAAGUUUGUACUUUUUGCAAUUACUCAGUUAAAUCCGAUGGUAGCUGAAAUUUGAACCAUGUUGCUGGGUAACUAAUGUUAUAUAACAAACUGUGAUAACUGAAACUCAUUGCAUAUUGAACUGUGCAGGUAGAGACUGUCUAUACUUAAAAUGUUAGAUGAUUUUUAUGCCUAUUAAAUGGAUUAGGGCCAGUGUGUCCUAUUUAUGAGGAUGCACAGAUUCCUGCUUUGUGAGAAGGAGCAUGCCUGGUUUAGUACAAACAGAAUUUUUACGAAGUUGGACAUGGAGGGGGAGGUUGGGAGGGGGCAGAGCCUUCUAAGAGGGCGAGAAUGGCCUGGGAUUUGAAGCUCUAACUUUAUUAGACCCCAGCAGAAUCUCCUUCCGAGGUUCCUGAGUCCUGUACCUUUUACUACAGUAAUGUGAAGCUAGUAUACAAUUCUAACACAAAUUUCUUGACAACUCAAUCAGCGUAUGAAAAGAAUUCUCCAAUUUAAAAAAAUGCUUUUAAAUAUUGUCUCCUUUUUUUUCACUUUUAUUCAGAAAACACUGUGCAUCUUCUCGAUGCCAGGCAUCGUACCAGAAGCUGACAUCACAGCAGUACUGACGCAGCCAUGCUAACUAACCUCGAGGAGCUUGUCAGUGCGGGAGGUGGACAGUGACCAUAAGUCAAAAGCAAAAACUGAGAUCUUAAUAGUUAAGUUUUUACAAACGGAUGUUAACUGCAACAGAAGGGACUCCUACAGAACACCAAAGAAACAACCAAGCUAGAAAGGCAAAAAACUGACAAACCACUAAUCUUUCUGACGAGAGCAAACAAAAGCGACUGCAGAGGAAGAAGCUGAGCAGAGAGAGGUGAAGUAACUUGCCCAGUCACGGUGUUAGGAAGUGAGAAGGCUGGAAACAAACCCAGGCAGCGGGCGCCAGCGUCCCUGUCCUUACCCACGCCGUGGACUGCCUCCCCAGGAGCACAGUUAGGUAACGUCAGCACAGAUUAUCAUGUACCGUGAAAUGAGCUUCAAGAAAAGUCUACAAACAUGGGGUGGGAGGAAGCAGGAUAUAACUAUCUAUGAAAUGCUUAUUUCGUUUAUAAAGAGAAAACCUUCAAAACAAAAAGCCAAUUAUCUGAGUUUAGGAAAAAAGGUAUGCUAACGGUGACCGACGCUGCACUGGUGGUCCAAGGACGCUGCCGUGACUCUGCCGUCUUCACCUCUGUCUUUCCCCAGUCCUAAAAAAUGUACAUUACUUUAAAAAUAUAUAUAAUAAACUUUUUUAUUAAAUUCACAUGGUGAGGAAGUAAAUGACUGGGAAAUACCUGUUCAAAAGAGCAACAGUGAUAAAUGUUCUACAAAAUAAACACAGUUCAUAAAUGCUCUGCUUCUCUGGGCCACAGCCACUAUUAAUAACACAGAGCCUCUAUAAUCUAAGUAUAUUCAUGGCACUAAUAAGGCAGGGAACUGAUCUGUCGUUCAUGACCUAAAGCCUUUAAUAUAUGGAAAUCUGGGGGUUACACUGAUCACAGAAACUGACACUACACAACGUCCCAGACGUGGAUAACAAAAAUGAAGAGCAGCAACACUUCUGAGAUUCAAGUGUGACUUCCAGGAUCAAGGACAUAACUCCCCAUUAACUGUCCUAUCUGGGCAGCUGGGAGGAUCUCAAGAGUCAGAAAAGGGACUGUGAUGAAAGACUCAUGGGAUUCUUGUGACAAAAUAGCCAAGUUCUGCUAUGCUCUUAACAUCACCCUCAUGAAAUUUUUUCUGUGAGAAUGCUGUGAGAACAUGCCUCCAGUUUUAUAACGAGUGCUGAUCUGAUGAGAACUCAUUCCAUAGGAUUUCAUUUCUGCUUUAUGGCCAACUAACCUAGACCUUCUCUUGUCUAUACCUAUAUUAGUUAUCGCAUUUGCCUCCUCGAAAAAUCAUAUUACAGUACCAUUUUUCUGCAAGUUGCCUAAUCUAGAACAUCCUACUUAUGAUCUAUAGAACACAAUGUCUAGAAAUAAAAGGAAACAUUUAACUGUUAUUAUUAAAAUAAAGCUUUAGAGUUCUAAGAGACAGUGCUGCAAUUAAAAUAACGAAGAGAGAAUUCUCUUC